rnacentral:lncRNA from 1 species
UGGCGCGAAACAUGGGCUUUCAAUUUUGGCUCUCAAAAUGAGAUUUUGAGUUUUAAGACUAGAGAUUGCGUCAUGUUAUAAAUGAAAAAAAAAAAAAAAAUUAAACCGAGGUUUUAUUUUUAUUUAUUUUGUAUAACAUGACUGUAAAAUUAAACCGAGGUUUUAUUUUUAUUUAUGAAAAAAAAAAAAAAAAUUAAACCGAGGUUUUAUUUUUAUUUAUUUUGUAUAACAUGACUGUAAAAUACAAAGUCGAGAUUCGGAACUUGGCUCGAAGCAUCAUACUUCAAAACCAACCAAAAAAUCUUGAUGUCGCGUAUAAAAAAAAUAAGCAUGAAAAGUUUGUCGAGAUGCAAAGGUCUCUUUGUUGCAUUAACUAAAAC